GCCACGGUGGUCUAGCGGUUAAAAUGCUGGCCUUGUAAUCCUGGGGUCUCGGGUUCGAUUCCCGGUGGUGCCC
rnacentral:tRNA from 1 species